rnacentral:lncRNA from 1 species
GCGGCCGCCACCUUAUCAUGGGAGAGACCUCGUAGACUCGCAGUGCAGAAUGUUACUCGAUAGGUGGGAAAUUGAAGCCGAACCACGCGGGGCCACAAAAGAAACCCGUCACUGUAGAUGACAAUCCUCCACCACAACCCAGAUGUCCUGCAAGCGCCGGCGGCGCGCGGUGAUGACGUCACGAGGUUUGCUUCAGAUCUGGUGGUCGCCCAUCUACCCCUUUCAGAAGGACCAGAGUUCAGUGGACUGGUGACACACAUCUGCUUGUAACUGCAGCUCUCGAGGAUCGAUGCCCUGUCUGACCUCUACACCACAGCCAUUUGUCCUGAGUGUCUUUGGGACCUGAAACCUGGAAAGGACAAUGGCAAAGAGUCGUGCUGCUUGUGAUAAGUUAUGCUGGAGGUCAGCCACCCGCAGCAAGCAGCCACAUGAUGGGAAGCGCUGUUGAGCCUUGGCCACCACUGUCCUGAUGUCCUUACAGCAUCUGGUGCUUUUACCUAUACUCAUCUCUGUUCUUAC